UAGGGAAUCUUCGGCAAUGGGGGCGAACCCUGACCGAGCAACGCCGCGUGAGUGAAGAAGGUCUUCGGAUCGUAAAACUCUGUUGUUAGAGAAGAACACGAGUGAGAGUAACUGUUCAUUCGAUGACGGUAUCUAACCAGCAAGUCACGGCUAACUACGUGCCAG
rnacentral:rRNA from 1 species